CCCGUCACACCAUGGGAGUUGGUCUUACCCGACGGCGCUGCGCCAACUGAGCAAUCAGGAGCAGGCGACCACGGUAGGGUCAGCGACUGGGGUG
rnacentral:rRNA from 1 species